rnacentral:rRNA from 1 species
GACGUAGGGGGCGAGCGUUGUCCGGAUUUAUUGGGCGUAAAGCGCGCGUAGGCGGCCGCGCAAGUCGGAUGUGAAAUCCCCGGGCUCAACCUGGGAACUGCAUCUGUGACUGCAUAGCUAGAGUACGGUAGAGGGGGAUGGAAUUCCGCGUGUAGCAGUGAAAUGCGUAGAUAUGCGGAGGAACACCGAUGGCGAAGGCAAUCCCCUGGACCUGUACUGACGCUCAUGCACGAAAGCGUGGGGAGCAAACAGG